GGGGCAGUGUGGUCUAGGAAAAUUCAACUUGUCGCUGAUUUGUGCCUGAUGCUUGCUGUCCGUCAGCAGCCUCCCUUACAAUCUUUUUUUCUCUCUCUCCCUUUUUUUCUUGCCUUCUCCUUCUUCACUGAAGCCUAGGGGAGCCAGCAAAGAUUAAAUGUGCUUUCUCAAAGGCAGCCACUUCAUGCUGCUAUGUCGAAAGGGCCAUUAUUAUUAUUAUUUUUAAUAGUAAAAGAAAACGGGAGAGAGAGGCUGAGACAGAGAGAAGCAAGGUAGGCUGAUGACGGACUAGCUUUUCUGGGAGGAAAAGGAAAGUGAGGGAGAAAGGAGAAACCCUGAACUGAACCGGACGAUCGUGCCUGAGAAGAACCUCCAGAGGUGGAUUGCUCAUGCCCUGAGGUUGCUACUACCACUGAUCACACAGGCAUUUGGGGAGUGCACAACGGCACACGGGAUUUUUGUAUUUCAGCGGGGGACUGCUCCAGUGUUAAGGCAGGUUUCUCAACACCCCUUCUUCCUCACGGAGCCCAUCAGCAAAGUUCAGUGAAAUGAAUAACAUAAUUGGUGGUUGGUUCAAUCACUACCAGUCUAGACUAGCCCAGACGCAUCAAUUAGAGAGCGCUGUCUUUUAAAGGGGGAACGCAACCGAAACAAGCAGGGCAUUAUUGAUACUGAUCUUUAAAAGUGCAAAUCCAGCUUGGCAGAUUAAAAAAAAAAAAAAAUAAGGCGGGGAAUUGGGGUGGGGGCGGUUUGCGUUGCGGGAAGAAAAGAAAAAGACGUGAACUGGAGCUUUCGGACACAGAAGGACAGGAAGCUUGAGAGAAAAGGCGUGGAUAAUGAGUGCAAGGCAAUGCAGCACCUCCUUGGAACACACAGUUACAAUUCAGUUCACAAGGCAUACUGGUUCACCAUAUUUUUAACUAGAUUCUCCCCCUCCUCCUUUUUUUUUUUUUUUUUGCCUCUGUUUCCAAAGAAGUUCCAGCUCAAACCCAAUUCUGUUGGAAAUUUAACAGCUCUAGGAAGCUCCACUGAAAAGAAAGCCAAGUAAUACGAACCAGCCAAAACUCCUUUUGCAACAUUUUUCCCCAAAAGAAAAACACAGAAGAUGUUUAUUUUUGAGUCUCUAAUUCUACUUAAAAAAAAAAAAAAAUCAACAGGA